rnacentral:rRNA from 1 species
UACGUAGGGACCGAGCGUUGUCCGGAAUCAUUGGGCGUAAAGAGCGUGUAGGCGGCCUUACAGGUCAGCUGUGAAAACUCGAGGCUCAACCUCGAGAGGUCGGUUGAAACCGUAAGGCUAGAGUCCGGAAGAGGAGAGUGGAAUUCCCGGUGUAGCGGUGAAAUGCGCAGAUAUCGGGAAGAACACCCGUGGCGAAGGCGGCUCUCUGGGACGGUACUGACGCUGAGACGCGAAAGCGUGGGGAGCGAACAGG